ensembl:lncRNA
CAGCGUUUGUGUGUCGCGGCUUCCGAGGAAGGGAUUACGCAGCGGGAGCGGCCGGCGAAGCAGGCCUUGGGGGCCGCAGGACGUAGCUGAAGAGAGCAGAGAUUUCUGGAUUUUUCUCAAGUGCUACACGGCACUCCUUCGCUCAUCUGGGGAGGCAAUUACGCGAUAAUUAAGCGACUCGCACAGCUCCUUUUAUCUUGUUCGCGGCGUGGAGUGGUGCGAUCAAAGUAAAGGCUGUCCAAGUUCAAGCCCUGGUGAGGACGGAGUUCAUACACAAGGGCUCAGGCAGGGCAGCCUCUGCUUGGGCUGGUGUUGUUAUUGUCCAUGUCAAUCCGAACAGGACUUACAAAGAAAUAGGUGGACUGGAAAGUGAGCCUACUAUCAAAGGAGAUUAAUGAUUUUGUGAUCCGAAGCAAUUGGGGGUGGGGGUGGGGGUGAAGUUGCGUUUCAAAGCUUCUUAGAAGGCAAACAAAUCAUCAGCUUUAAGUUUGCAGAACAAUAUUUUUAGAAAAUAUCUUCACAGAACUGCAGCUACCCUGAAAUGUCCUGGGGGCACACAGCUUCCCUACAGGAGUGAAUUAACUCCCUUCCCUUCACUCCCUCCAUAGCUUCCAUGAUGGCUGAGUUUCCUUUCUCUUUCAACAAGAAGAGAGGGUUCAGGAGUCUGUGGUAGACAACUUAAUCUUAUCAGCCACAGCUGAUAUUUUAUUCACUUGAAUAUUCAGAUAAAGAAAAACUAUUUUGGGGAAAGGAGAUAAAUAAUAUUUGGUUUCAUCGUGGAAAAACUCAAAAGAAACACACAAGGCUUAAAGCCAUGCCACAAAAAUGAAGUAAACAUUACAAGGAAUAAAGAAUUUUUUAAAUUCUCAAUUCUUGGCAUAUUAAAUCAACUUAUCCUUCCACUUUGAGUAUUUUUCACUCCUUUUUAUUAGCUAUACAUUCAUUUAAAUCAUAGACAAAGCAAUUUCGUUUUGGAGUACUUUCCUGUUUGUCAUUAUAUCAAGUUCCAUACUUUAGGAAAUAUUAAAUUCAGAAGAUCCAUUUUGGAUUUAAUUAAGUGAAGGAAAAUAACAGAAAUCCUUUUUGUUAACAUUUGAUUUAUUUAAAGUCCUUAACUGCAAAUGAUCAAGAACAUAUUUCACGGCUUAAAAUCUGGUAUUAUUUUUGUUAUCUAAAUCAAAAUAUUUUAAUUACAAUCACAUUGAUAAAAAUUAACAUUUUAAUUUGCAAUAUUAACCAUGAUUAAAGCAAUUUUAGCUGUAAAGGAAAAGAAUAAACCAUGCAAUAAAUUAACAUUGAGAAGGCAAAAAGGAAUUAUAAUGAAACCCGUCUGUCUAUGCUAACACCAUGACCAGCUGUGGAAAGUGCAUCAACACUGGGUGAAACAAGCACACGAUAGCAAUAAUUAAAAUGGCCACAAUCAAUAGGAUUUUGGAAUCUUGGACCAAAUUUUGAGAAAGAACUCUAUAUCUCUCUGCUCCAACUAAGUGAUAUUCUUUUUUGUCUGGGGGGAAAAUCCUUUAAACAGUAUACAUACACAAAAGCUAAUUUUAUACUUUAUGUGACCUUAGAAUGACAUGACCAUGGCACUCUGCAAAGCAAGGAUCAGAGUUCUUGAGGAGGGCAAUUCCCGAGAAGAGAUUCCCAGGACCAAAAGUGGACAGAAAGGACAAGGGGG